rnacentral:misc_RNA from 1 species
UUUUUUUUUUUUUUUUUAAAAAUUUUUUUGAAUGUCUCUUCCAUUCCAUAAAAAAAAUCAUCAGAAGCUCUGCUGAUGCAAAAGUUAUGUUCUGACUAGUAAAUUAUAGAUCUCUCCUAAAAAUGAUGUGGACCAUUUUCUUUCUCAAUAUAGAUAUCAAGGCAAUAUUUCUAAUUCAUUAACCCAAAAAAAAAUAAAAUUAAAAUA